GUUGUAUGGUUAAGUGACUAAGCGUACACGGUGGAUGCCUUGGCAGUCAGAGGCGAUGAARGRCGUAAUAACUUGCGAUAAGCCCAGAUUAGGUAGUAAUAACCUUUUGAGUCUGGGAUUYCYGAAUGGGGAAACCCACUURCAUAAGYAAGUAUCCUGUUGUGAAUACAUAGCAACAGGAGGCAAACCGGGGGAACUGAAACAUCUAAGUACCCCGAGGAAGAGAAAUCAACCGAGAUUCCGAAAGUAGCGGCGAGCGAAAUUGGAUUAGCCCUUAAGCUUUUAAUGAGACAGACGAAGGCUCUGGAAAGUGCCGCAGUAAAGGGUGAUAGCCCCGUAGYCGACAYMUCAUAAUCAGUGAAAACGAGUAG
rnacentral:rRNA from 1 species